UGUUUGAUGUUCUAACGUGGACCCGUGAUCCGGGUUGCGGACAGUGUCUGGUGGGUAGUUUGACUGGGGCGGUCUCCUCCUAAAGAGUAACGGAGGAGCACGAAGGUUGGCUAAUCCUGGUCGGACAUCAGGAGGUUAGUGCAAUGGCAUAAGCCAGCUUGACUGCGAGCGUGACGGCGCGAGCAGGUGCGAAAGCAGGUCAUAGUGAUCCGGUGGUUCUGAAUGGAAGGGCCAUCGCUCAACGGAUAAAAGGUACUCCGGGGAUAACAGGCUGAUACCGCCCAAGAGUUCAUAUCGACGGCGGUGUUUGGCACCUCGAUGUCGGCUCAUCACAUCCUGGGGCUGAAGUAGGUCCCAAGGGUAUGGCUGUUCGCCAUUUAAAGUGGUACGCGAGCUGGGUUUAGAACGUCGUGAGACAGUUCGGUCCCUAUCUGCCGUGGGCGCUGGAGAACUGAGGGGGGCUGCUCCUAGUACGAGAGGACCGGAGUGGACGCAUCACUGGUGUUCGGGUUGUCAUGCCAAUGGCACUGCCCGGUAGCUAAAUGCGGAAGAGAUAAGUGCUGAAAGCAUCUAAGCACGAAACUUGCCCCGAGAUGAGUUCUCCCUGAGACUUUAGGUCUCCUGAAGGAACGUUGAAGACGACGACGUUGAUAGGCCGGGUGUGUAAGCGCAGCGAUGCGUUGAGCUAACCGGUA
rnacentral:rRNA from 1 species